GAUGAACGCUGGCGGCGUGCCUAACACAUGCAAGUCGAACGGAAAGACCCUGCGUUUGUGCCGUUGUCGAUUGCGGAGGGCGGGAGUGACACGUGUGGAACAUGCCCUUGUCUUUCGGGGAACUUCACGAAACAGCGGCGAAUAUAGGAUAGAAUCUCCUGCACCGUGUGGGGCGUUGGAGAGUUUCGGCUUUGGGGGAUGGACUAGCGGCGUAGUAGCUGGAUGGUGGGGUAGGUGCUUACCAAGGCUAUCACGGGUAGCCGACCUGAGAGGGUGAUCGGCCACACUGGAACGGAGACACGGUCCAGACUCCUACGGGAGGCAGCAGUAGGGAAUCUGCGGCAAUGGGCGAAAGCCUGACGCAGCGACGCCGCGUGAGAGAUGAAGGCGUUCGGUGCGUAAAGCCCGGUUAUUGGGUAAGAACAGAUGUGGAAUUAAACAUGGCCGUCGUGACGGUACCGAAUCAAAAAGCCACGGCUAACUACGUG
rnacentral:rRNA from 1 species